CCUACGGGUGGCAGCAGUGGGGAAUAUUGCGCAAUGGGCGAAAGCCUGACGCAGCGACGCCGCGUGAGGGAUGAAGGUCUUCGGAUCGUAAACCUCUGUCGGCAGGGAAGAACGGUCACUGUGCUAAUCAGCAGUGAAUUGACGGUACCUGCAAAGGAAGCACCGGCUAACUCCGUGCCAGCAGCCGCGGUAAUACGGAGGGUGCGAGCGUUAAUCGUAAUUACUGGGCGUAAAGCGAUCGUAGGCGGGAUGUCAAGUCAGAUGUGAAAUCACCGCGCUCAACGUGGGAACUGCCUUUGAAACUGGCAAACUGGAGUGUGUGAGAGGAUGGUAGAAUUCCAGGUGUAGGAGUGAAAUCCGUAGAUAUCUGGAGGAACACCGGUGGCGAAGGCGACUAUCUGGCACAUAACUGACGCUGAGGAGCGAAAGCGUGGGUAGCAAACAGGAUUAGAUACCCUUGUAGUC
rnacentral:rRNA from 1 species